AAACAAAACAAAAAAGAAAGAAAAGAAACAGGAUAGGCAAAUGUGAAACAGGGGAUGGAAAGAAAGAAAGGAGAAAAGAAAGAAAAAAAAAGGAAAAUUGAAGAUUUGAAGCUUUAAAGUUUAAUAGGUUAAGUUAAAGUGAGAAUGUCGAAUCAGCAUCCCAGGCCGAUCCCGAAUUCAACGAGGUAAAGCGUGUUAAUUGUUGAUAAUGGCAUGUACCUAGGGUGUCUUAUGUGUGUCAUUUUGAAUGGUGAAUGUAAAAGUGAAAUAAUUAUAUUUAAAUUUUGGUAAUGGUAUAUAAUAGGACUUGACUAAUUUAGUAUGAAUUUGAUUUAUUUGAUAAUAUUUGAUAAGUAAUUAGAAUUGAGUAUUGGAUAAUAUAUAAAAA